CUGCCGGCGUGCAUAACACAUGCAAGUCGAACGAUGAAACUUAGCUGAUUUCUUCGGAAUGAAAUUAAGUGGAUUAGUGGCGAACGGGUGAGUAACACGUGAGUAACCUGCCUUACACAAGGGGAUAGCCUUUGGAAACGAAGAAUAAUACCCUAUAAAGUCAAUUUAUCGCAUGAUAGAGUGACCAAAGAUUUAUCGGUGUAAGAUGGACUUGCGUCUGAUUAGCUAGUUGGUGAGAUAAAAGCCCACCAAGGCGACGAUCAGUAGCCGGCUUGAGAGAGUGUACGGCCACAUUGGGACUGAGACACGGCCCAAACUCCUACGGGAGGCAGCAGUGGGGAAUUUUGCACAAUGGGGGAAACCCUGAUGCAGCGACGCCGCGUGAUUUAGAAGGCCUUCGGGUUGUAAAAAUCUUUUUUAUGGGAUGAAAAUGACAGUACCAUAAGAAUAAGGUCCGGCUAAAUACGUGCCAGCAGCCGCGGUAAUACGUAUGGAUCGAGCGUUGUCCGGAAUCAUUGGGCGUAAAGGGUACGUAGGCGGCCUAGUAAGUUAGAAGUGAAAUAAUAUAGCUCAACUAUAUAAAGCUUUUAAAACUGUUAGGCUUGAGAGAUGAAAGGGAAAGUGGAA
rnacentral:rRNA from 1 species